AGUGAACGCUGGCGGUAGGCCUAACACAUGCAAGUCGAACGGCAGCACAGUAAGAGCUUGCUCUUACGGGUGGCGAGUGGCGGACGGGUGAGGAAUACAUCGGAAUCUACUUUUUCGUGGGGGAUAACGUAGGGAAACUUACGCUAAUACCGCAUACGACCUACGGGUGAAAGCAGGGGAUCUUCGGACCUUGCGCGAUUGAAUGAGCCGAUGUCGGAUUAGCUAGCUGGCGGGGUAAGGGCCCACCAAGGCGACGAUCCGUAGCUGGUCUGAGAGGAUGAUCAGCCACACUGGAACUGAGACACGGUCCAGACUCCUACGGGAGGCAGCAGUGGGGAAUAUUGGACAAUGGGCGCAAGCCUGAUCCAGCCAUACCGCGUGGGUGAAGAAGGCCUUCGGGUUGUAAAGCCCUUUUGUUGGGAAAGAAAAGCAGCAGGUUAAUACCCCGCUGUUCUGACGGUACCCAAAGAAUAAGCACCGGCUAACUUCGUG
rnacentral:rRNA from 1 species